rnacentral:tRNA from 1 species
GCCUUCUUAUCUCAGUCGGUAGAGCGCCAGCCUUUCAAGCUGGUGGUCAGGGGUUCGAGCCCCCUACGAGACU